GGCCCACGCGCGGACCCUUAUGGUCAUGGGCAGCACUGUUUUGUAUUUCAGACCAUUUUAAACCAUUUUUCCCUUCCUUUCCUUUCAAAUACCCAUCCAUUUUAACAAAAACCAGCAGCCUUGAAAUUAAAUUUGCUAGGGUUCCUUUUACAAGCAGCUGAAUCUCCAUCGGAUUUGGUGUCCAGCGGCGAGCAAAACAAUUCCCGAUUCUGUUGCUGUAAGUAUUCGACCAUGCCUUGAGGAAAUUAGUAAGUAUUUUCUUUUUUACUUGAGAAAAAAUAAAACUUCAAAUCUCAUACAUUUUUAAAAAACGAAGAAAGUUCAUAAAAUAGAGAUUCAACACCACUUGACCCCUUUCCCCUACUUUUGUAUCUUAAAGUAUUCGGGAUCUCAUUGGAGUCGAUUUACCUACUAAAAGACGAUCUAAACCAAACAAAAAAAGAAAAAAAAAAGAAAGAACGAAAGAAAACUUGAGAUUACCCUUGCAAAUUCUUAAUUGCUUUUUUUUUUAUAUUUCUGUGCGUGUAUAUUCUGUGUGCGUCUGUGUUCGUGUUCCCCUUUUCUUUUAUUUACUCUCGAAAUAAAAAAAAAGCAAGAAAAUAAUCACAAAGAGAAAGCCCAGAGAUUUAGAUCGGAGAAAUCACCUUCCAAUAUUGCUUUUUUUGUAUUGCCUAUUGUGUAUUCGUUCGUAAAAAUAUGCCCCCCUUUUACAAAGAUUAAAAGCUGGGUUUUUAUAGUCGAAAAAGGGAAUCAACCGAAAAUAUACAAUAUAUUUGUUUCCAUUUGCUGCUGUUUUUGUUUCUUUCUUGUAGGUACAGAGUCUGUUGGCAUGCGCACGGGGUGGGGGCGUGGCGUACGAGUGCUGUGGAGGUAUGGGACUGCUGUAGUGGAGGUAUGGGUCUAUUGCCCAGUUGCUGUUGCGGCGCAGGAGAGAGGGGUGACUUAGGGUUUGCCGAAACUUGGCUCAAUUUUUGGGGCCGUUUGGGUCUGUUCCAGUUAUUGGGCUGUUGUAUUUGGGCUAUGGGCAUUGGGUAUCAAUAUUGGUUGUAAUAUUUGGACCUUUAUGACAGACUAUUAGUUUGGUUUUAUUCUUUGGACUUUUGGGUUAAUAAUUUGGUAUUUAUUUUGGGUUUUGGUUCUAACGUAGGCCCGGGCUAAAUUGGCCCAUUACAAUAUACAUACACUCAAAAAUGAUAAUUUUAUAAUUACAAAAAAAAUGUAAGUUCCCAAAAUUAUUUUAUAUAUACAUGAAGAAAAUACUCGACAAGUUAUGAAACAAAAAAUAUUUUAAAAUAGAAAAAUCUAUUAAAGUAGUAGGC
rnacentral:lncRNA from 1 species